UGUGCGUCUAUGUUGACAUCAACGAAGGAACCUCUCUCACACUAUUCGCACACUAAGGCGCACAGCAGCUAGCCAGAGUUGUUUUCUUGCCUGGACGUGCGGCGUGUGUGCAGAAAAAGGAAAACCAGGAGUUGAAGUGCCAGCUGGACACCUCGCAGAACACAAUCGGUGCAGCCGGGAUUGUGAACACAUUGUGGAGCUCUCCAGCCUCAAGUCCAGGACCAAGAAUUUUCAUUUCGUGUGACAAAGGAGAGACACGUGGAAGAUACCCUUUUGCAUCAGAUACUCAACUUAAGAGGAGCCCCCCCCCUCCCCUUGUUGCUCUCAAU